ACGGGGGAUGCGAGCGUUAUCCGGAUUCAUUGGGUUUAAAGGGUGCGUAGGCUGUGCGUCAAGUCGGGGGUGAAAUUCCGGUGCUCAACACCGGGGCUGCCCUUGAUACUGUCGCGCUGGAGUGCGGAUGCCGCCGGAGGAAUGAGUGGUGUAGCGGUGAAAUGCUUAGAUAUCACUCAGAACACCGAUUGCGAAGGCAUCUGGCGAAUCCGUAACUGACGCUGAGGCACGAAAGCGUGGGGAUAGAACAG
rnacentral:rRNA from 1 species